rnacentral:rRNA from 1 species
GCUUAACACAUGCAAGUCGAACGAACUUCGGGUUACUGUGGCGGACGGGUGAGUACGAAAUCUGCCCUCAGGAGGGGGACAACAGUUGGAGACGACUGCUAAUACCCCAUAUGCCGCGAGGUGAAAUGAAUUUCGCCUGAGGAUGAGCUCGCGUCUGAUUAGCUAGUUGGUGUACUGUAAUGGCUCACCAAGGGCAUCGAUCAGUAGCUGGUCUGAGAGGAUGAUCAGCCACACUGGGACUGAGAACAACGGCCCAGACUCCUACGGGAGGCAGACAGUGGGGAAUUUUCCGCAAUGGGCGAAAAGCCUGACGGAGCAACGCCGCGUGAGGGAUGAAGGCCUCUGGGCUGUAAACCUCUUUUAUCAAGGAAGAAGAUCUGACGGUACUUGAUGAAUAACGCCACGGGCUAAUUCCGGUCGCCAGACAGGCCGCGGUAAUACAGGGAGGUGGCCACGCGUUAUCCGGAAAUUAUUGGGCGUAAAGCGUCCCGAAUGCAGGGCCCUUUCAAGGUCUGCUGUUCACAAACGUGGAAGCUUACACUCCACUCAUUCGCCACGUGGCAAACUGGAUUGCGGCUUUGACCUUGUCGGGUAAAGGGGCAGAACGGGAAAUUCCCCGGUCUAAGACAGGUAGAAACAUGCGUUAGAAUAUCCAGCGAGAAGAACACAACAAAU